rnacentral:lncRNA from 1 species
AAUUCGUUAAAAAUAGUUUUACAUCUUCAAAAAUUUUAGAAAUUUGAUAUAUUGUUUUCUGAUGUUUCUAUUAUUCAAGUGGUGUAAAUUUUUUGAGUUUUAUUAAAUAUUUUACGAAUUUUCUAAUUCAUCUAUCUCUGUUUUUAACAUUGCUAGACAGUGUGGAUAUUUGCAUGUAAAAUUCUUUUUGUAAGAUAUUUCUGACUUUUAUUCAUUUUUUGAAUUUUCAUAUGAAAUGCUACACAUUUUUAUGGUUUUAUUUAAUUUUUUUAUAAUUUUCUGACAUAUGAUUAGCUUGGUAAAAAUCAGCUUGUAUAGGAUGGUCAGGUUUAGACUAGCUUUGAUGGUUUAGUGCUUAUUACUAAGCUUGAUUUUGUUGGAUUUAUAUCAAGGUAAGAAUCAGCAAUAAUAUUGAUAAGAAUGUGCCUUGAUGUUUUAGGACUAAAGUGAGCUCGUGGUUGAGGUUACCAUUCUUUUUGUUGUUAAGGAUCGAGGUAAGUAGAUUUAUGCAUGGUACAUGUAUUUCACUAUUAAAUUACUUUUAAUUUGAGGUAUGUAUUACGUUGAAUGAAAAAUAUUUAAAAUUGAUUUGUUUAAGUCUAUUUUAAUAUUUUGUUAAGUAAAAUCAUUCUUUAA